CUUGUUUGGGAAUGCAGGUCAAAAUGGGUGGUAAAUUUCAUCUAAAGCUAAAUAUUGGCCAGAGACCGAUAGCGCACAAGUAGAGUGAUCGAAAGAUGAAAAGCACUUUGAAAAGAGAGUUAAACAGUAUGUGAAAUUGUUGAAAGGGAAGCGCUGGCAACCAGACUCGUGCGCGGGGUUCCCCCUUGCUUCUGCUUGGGUCACUUCCCCGUGUCCGGGCCAUCAUCAGUUUCGGGGGCCGGUUAAAGGCCCUGGGAAUGUACCCACGCCUUCGGGGGUGGACUUAUAGCCCAGGGUGUCAUGCGGCCACCCGGGACUGAGGAACGCGCUUCGGCGAGGAUGAUGGCGUAAUGGUUGUCAGCGGCCCGUCUUGAAACACGGACCAAGGAGUCUAACAUCUAUGCGAGUGUUCGGGUGUCAAACCCUUGCGCGGAAUGAAAGUGAACGGAGGUAGGAAGGCUUAAGCCUGCACUAUCGACCGAUCCUGAUGUCUUCGGAUGGAUUUGAGUAAGAGCAUAGCUGUUGGGACCCGAAAGAUGGUGAACUAUGCGUGAAUAGGGUGAAGCCAGAGGAA
rnacentral:rRNA from 1 species